GCAUAUCAAUAAGCGGAGGAAAAGAAACCAACAGGGAUUACCUCAGUAACGGCGAAGUGAAGCGGUAACAGCUCAAAUUUGAAAUCUGGUCCGUUCCGGGCCCGAGUUGUAAUUUGUAGAAGAKGCUUUGGGUGCGGCUCCGGCCUAAGUUCCUUGGAACAGGGCGUCAUAGAGGGUGAGAAUCCCGUAUGCGGCCGGCGGCCUGCGCCCGUGUAAAGCUCUUUCGACGAGUCGAGUUGUUUGGGAAUGCAGCUCUAAAUGGGUGGUAUAUUUCAUCUAAAGCUAAAUAUUGGCCAGAGACCGAUAGCGCACAAGUAGAGUGAUCGAAAGAUGAAAAGCACUUUGGAAAGAGAGUUAAACAGUACGUGAAAUUGUUGAAAGGGAAGCGCUUGCAGCCAGACUCGCGGGCCGUCGAUCACCCGGUGUUCUCACCGGGGCACUCGGCGGCCCUCGGGCCAGCAUCAGUUCGGGCGGCCGGAUAAAGGCCGCGGGAAUGUGGCUCCCCUCGGGGAGUGUUAUAGCCCGCGGUGCAAUGCGACCUGCCUGGACUGAGGACCGCGCUUCGGCUAGGAUGCUGGCGUAAUGGCUGUAAGCGACCCGUCUUGAAACACGGACCAAGGAGUCUAACAUCUAUGCGAGUGUUUGGGUGUCAAACCCAUACGCGUAAUGAAAGUGAACGGAGGUGAGAGCCCGUUAGGGUGCAUCAUCGACCGAUCCUGAUGUCUUCGGAUGGAUUUGAGUAAGAGCAUAGCCGUUGGGACCCGAAAGAUGGUGAACUAUGCCUAAAUAGGGUGAAGUCAGAGGAAACUCUGAUGGAGGCUCGCAGCGAUUCUGACGUGCAAAUCGAUCGUCAAAUUUGGGUAUAGGGGGCGAAAGACUAAUCGAACCAUCUAGUAGCUGGGUCUGC
rnacentral:rRNA from 1 species